rnacentral:rRNA from 1 species
GAUGAACGCUGGCAGCGUGCCUAAUACAUGCAAGUCGAGCGAACGGACGAGAAGCUUGCUUCUCUGAUGUUAGCGGCGGACGGGUGAGUAACACGUGGAUAACCUACCUAUAAGACUGGGAUAACUUCGGGAAACCGGAGCUAAUACCGGAUAAUAUUUUGAACCGCAUGGUUCAAAAGUGAAAGACGGUCUUGCUGUCACUUAUAGAUGGAUCCGCGCUGCAUUAGCUAGUUGGUAAGGUAACGGCUUACCAAGGCAACGAUGCAUAGCCGACCUGAGAGGGUGAUCGGCCACACUGGAACUGAGACACGGUCCAGACUCCUGCGGGAGGCAGCAGUAGGGAAUCUUCCGCAAUGGGCGAAAGCCUGACGGAGCAACGCCGCGUGAGUGAUGAAGGUCUUCGGAUCGUAAAACUCUGUUAUUAGGGAAGAACAUAUGUGUAAGUAACUGUGCACAUCUUGACGGUACCUAAUCAGAAAGCCACGGCUAACUACGUG